AGAGAUGUAGCUCAGUUGUUAGGGUUCUUGCCUAGCAUGCACAAGGCUCUGGGUUCAAUUCCCAGCACCACAU
rnacentral:tRNA from 1 species